UCUGAGGGAAGCCCGGGCGCGGGGCUCCCAGCUCCCCAGGCUGACUACAGCUGUUCUGAGCACGCUGGGGGAGCCCCCACCUCUGGAGCCGGCGCGGGGAGACGGCUGCGUGGCGCUCCCCGCAGAGCCCAGCUUCCGCGCUGAGAGGGGCGCGCGGGGUGCGAGCCUGGAACACGUAGGGGCUGAGUGGGGCCGCGCCUAGGAACCUGGCCCUCUGCCGGGGACACGUGACCGCCUCCUUUCCCGCACGUCACCCAUCCAUCCCCCUUUUCGUAGAUCAGCCUCACGCCGUCACCCACUCACCCGGCUUCUUUUGAGCAGGCGCAGUAGCAGGGCUACGCGCUCUACCGCCCCCGCUGUAGCCCAGGGAGUGGGAGGCUACUUCCGCCCCGCGGAAACGUCACUUCCACCUCCGUGCAUUGCCCUAGUCAGGCUAGGGCUGCCAGCUGAGGCAGCCGGCGCAGCUUCUACUCCCGCCCUAAUAGGUCACUUCCGCCCUUCUUCUGGGCCGGAGGCCGGGCCUAGGGCUGCCCGUGCGCUCAGAGUUGUCGCCGCGUGGCCCCUCCGCAGCGUGUGGGGUGAAGGGAACCGGGUCCUUCUGGCUCGGCGGGUCUUAAGUCCAGCAACCCAAAAGUCACCCAACCUGCAGUUUCUGUCCUUGGUCAGUGCAGCCCCAGCGUUCAGAAGUUCAUCUGCAGCGUUCACCUCCUAGCCUGCGUGGAAGGGGAGAAGUGUGUAUUAUCUCUGAGGUAAAGCCUGUGUGCAAAGGUUCCUGAUCACCUUGAUUCCUCCAGGAAGAUAGUUCCUCAGUCAUGGGCCCCCUACUGACAAAGGUGUCUCCAUCUCUCCCUGGCUUUGCUCUGGGGCCUGUGCACUCUCCGUGGGACAUUUCCAUCAUGGAUGCGGGGGCAGGCCCUGGAGAGCUUUGAAGAUCAGGGCACUGACCUUGGAAGAGGAUGUGGAGUUCAAUGGAGGAAUGGAGCAGCCAGGCUGAGGGACUCUUUUACCAGGGCUGGGCUGCUGUGUUUGGCUUAGCUGGAGUUUUUCCAGGGGUUUCUUGUUCGCUCCCAGGUGCAGGGCAAUGGAUACAGCUCCUCCAAAUGCCUGGAUCUCUCCUAAGAAGAAGCGCCUCUCCUCACUUGGAAUCACCCCUCCCCUAUGGCUUGCUGGGUGAAACUUUUGGGUAUGGAGUGAAUGUGGAGCAAGAGGCACAUUAAACAGCUGCUUAAGCCGUA